rnacentral:rRNA from 1 species
CCUACGGGAGGCAGCAGUGAGGAAUAUUGGUCAAUGGCCGCAAGGCUGAACCAGCCAAGUAGCGUGCAGGAUGACGGCCCUAUGGGUUGUAAACUGCUUUUGCGGGGGAAUAAAGUGAGGGACGCGUCCCUUUUUGUAUGUACCCUGAGAAUAAGGACCGGCUAAUUCCGUGCCAGCAGCCGCGGUAAU